rnacentral:rRNA from 1 species
UACGGAGGAUCCGAGCGUUAUCCGGAAUUAUUGGGUUUAAAGGGUCCGUAGGCGGGCCGUUAAGUCAGGGGUGAAAGUCUGCGGCUCAACCGUAGGACUGCCCUUGAUACUGGCGGCCUUGAGUUAUGGUGAAGUAACUAGAAUAUGUGGUGUAGCGGUGAAAUGCAUAGAGAUCACAUGGAAUACCGAUUGCGAAGGCAGGUUACUAACCAUAUACUGACGCUGAUGGACGAAAGCGUGGGGAGCGAACAGG